GAGGUUGUGGCUCAGUGGUAGAGCGUUUACCUAGCAUGUGCAAGGCCCUGGGUUCAAUCCACAGCACCACA
rnacentral:tRNA from 1 species